rnacentral:lncRNA from 1 species
CAGCAUGCGAGAUGAAUUCAGAAGAAUAUCAUUCGAGUUAAAACAUCAGACCAAUUUUUAGUCUCUUUUAAAAUGAAAGGUUGGACGGCUGGUAAUUAAGCUAUAUAUCGAUUUGUGACUCUCCAAAGAGAGAGAAACUUGAUUUGUGACGCUCCCGAGAGAAACUUACUUAUCACCUGCAAAAGGACAAAACUAACCCUAUUAAUUGCGUGAUGGCCCAACACAUCAUGUGGGCUCCACGGUCAUUGGCCAAAUGCUACACCAUUUCUGUCCUCUCCCCACCUUCCUUCCGCAAAUAUAAAGAGCUCACCACCCCAACCCCACCCCCUCACCGUUGCAAAUGGCUGCCCAAUCAGUCGCUGCCGCCACAUCCCAGCUAUCGGCUACUGGCAAGGUGGCCGAGCCCACGGCGGCUUCCGUCGUCGAUGCCGCCGCCUUCCUCUCGCCUCACCACCAGAGCUCCCGGAAACCUCAUGGCCAGUCUCUAAUUCGAUGCAUGAUGGAGAGAAUGAAGCAAUUGUUGACCCGAGGUUCUUCACCUGCAUUGUACCUUGCGAACAGGGCAAAGGAGCUUCCCAGGCGUUGUUUCGGCAACCAAGUCUCUAGUGCUGCUUCAGAGGUUGGGCAUGACUUAAUGGGCAUCGAAGCAUAUUUCUCCAUUCCGGUUGUCGUGCCGGUUACCUCCCGUGUGGUUUAGAAAAUGGAUAUCAGAGGUGAUUACACUGUAAUCCUCUUACGUGAGCUCUUGGAUGUAGAUAUAUAUAUAUAUUUAUACACCCGUACAUCACUAAUUAAUUACCUUCUACUUGAAACUCUCCAAAUUAAUAUUACUAGCACUUUGAUCGAGCUCCAGUUUGCCGUUACACAAUUAUAAACAUAAUUGCUAACCAUCUAUAACAGAGAUUACGCUCAUCAUUAAGUUUAAUUAUCUCUGUCGUGGUUUUCAUGAUAUUCAACUCUAUCAG